AGUUCGAUCGUGGCUCAGAUUGAACGCUGGCGGGAUGCCCCACACAUACCAAAGUCAGACGGCAGCACGGACUUCAGUCUGGUGGCGAGUGGCGAACGGGUGAAGUAUGUAUCGGAACGUGCCUAGUAGCGGGGAUAACUACGCGAAAGCGUAGCUAAUACCACCUUACGCCCUUCGGGGAAAAGCGGGGGACCUUCGGGCCUCGCACUAUUAGAAACGGCCGAUAUCGGAUUAGCUAGUUGGUGGGGUAACGGCUCACCAAGGCGAAGGCGAUCCGUAGCUGGUAGUUUGAGAGGACGACCAGCCACACUGGGACUGAGACACGGCCCAGACUCCUACGGGAGAGCAGCAGUGGGGAAUUUUGGACAAUGGGAAGCCACAGUCCAGCCAUCCCGCGUGUGCGAUGAGGCAGCCUUCGGGUUGUAAAGCACUUUUGGCAGGAAAGAAACGGCACGGGAUAAUACCCCGUGCAACUGACCGUACCUGCAGAAUAAGCACCGGCUAACUACGUGCCAGCAGCCGCGGUAAUACGUAGAAGUGCAAGCGUUAAUCGGAAUUACUGGGCGUAAAGCGUGCGCGGGCGGUUCGGAAGAAAGAUGUGAAAUCCCAGAGCUUAACUUUGGAACUGCAUUUUUAACUACCGAGCUAGAGUGUGGCCCAGGGAGGUGGAAUUCCGCGUGUAGCAGUGAAAUGCGUAGAUAUGCGGAGGAACACCGAUGGCGAGGCAGCCUCCCUGGGAUAACACUGACGCUCAUGCACAGCAGUGGGAACAAAACAGUUAAAAUGCCCUGGUAGUCCACGCCCUAAACGAUGUCAACUAAGCUGUUGAGGGCCUUCGGGCCUUGGUAGCGCAGCUAACGCGUGAAGUUGACCGCCUGGGAGAGUACGGUCGCAAGAUUAAAACUCAAAGGAAUUGACGGGGACCCGCACAAGCGGUGGAUGAUGUGGUUCAAUUCGGUACAACGCGAAAAAGCCUUACCUACCCUUGACAUGUCUGGAAUCCCGAAGAGAUUUGGGGAGUGCUCGCAAAGAGAACCGGAACACAGGUGCCGCAUGGCUGUCGUCAGCUCGUGUCGUGAGAUGUUGGGUUAAGUCCCUCGAGCGCAACCCUUGUGUUAGUUGCUGAAGAGACGCUCUGUCAAGACUGCCGGUGAGCGCGAAACCGGAGGAAGGUGGGGAUGACGUCAAGUCCUCAUGGCUCCCUUAUGGGUAGGGCUUCACACGUCAUACAAUGGUCGGGACAGAGGGUCGCCAACCCGCGAGGGAAUAAUCCGGGAAACCCGAUCGUAGUCCGGAUCGCAGUCUGCAACUCGACUGCGUGAAGUCGGAAUCGCUAGUAAUCGCGGAUCAGCAUGUCGCAGUGAAUACGUUCCCGGGUCUUGUACACACCGCCCGUCACACCAUGGGAGUGGGUUUUACCAGAAGUAGUUAGCCUAACCGUAAGGAGGGCGAUUACCACGGUAGGAUUCAUGACUGGGGUAAAGUCGUAACAAGGUAG
rnacentral:rRNA from 1 species